GUCGAACGGUAACAGGAUGUGCUUGCACAUCGCUGACGAGUGGCGGACGGGUGAGUAAUGCUUGGGAACUUGCCUUUGCGAGGGGGAUAACAGUUGGAAACGACUGCUAAUACCGCAUAAUGUUUUCGAACCAAACGGGGCUUCGGCUCCGGCGCAAAGAGAGGCCCAAGUGAGAUUAGCUAGUUGGUGAGGUAAAGGCUCACCAAGGCGACGAUCUCUAGCUGUUCUGAGAGGAAGAUCAGCCACACUGGGACUGAGACACGGCCCAGACUCCUACGGGAGGCAGCAGUGGGGAAUAUUGCACAAUGGGGGAAACCCUGAUGCAGCCAUGCCGCGUGUGUGAAGAAGGCCUUCGGGUUGUAAAGCACUUUCAGUUGUGAGGAAAAGUUAGUAGUUAAUACCUGCUAGCCGUGACGUUAACAACAGAAGAAGCACCGGCUAACUCCGUGCCAGCAGCCGCGGUAAUACGGAGGGUGCGAGCGUUAAUCGGAAUUACUGGGCGUAAAGCGCACGCAGGCGGUUUGUUAAGCUAGAUGUGAAAGCCCCGGGCUCAACCUGGGAUGGUCAUUUAGAACUGGCAGACUAGAGUCUUGGAGAGGGGAGUGGAAUUCCAGGUGUAGCGGUGAAAUGCGUAGAUAUCUGGAGGAACAUCAGUGGCGAAGGCGACUCCCUGGCCAAAGACUGACGCUCAUGUGCGAAAGUGUGGGUAGCGAACAGGAUUAGAUACCCUGGUAGUCCACACCGUAAACGCUGUCUACUAGCUGUGUGUGCCU
rnacentral:rRNA from 1 species